GUACCCCUCCACCCCAACACAGAGGGUUGAGCCCCCAGGGGAAGUGGGAACCUCUGGGAGAGCAAAGGUGCUGGUUUGGAGGGUCUACCUUGUGAGCAGCGGGGCACAGGGCUCAGAGCGUCCAGCUUGGACAGCGAGGAGGAAGCCAGGGAAAGACCAGGCCUGUGGCUGGAUCCUUCCAUCUGGCUGCAGUCUCACAGGGAGGUUUUUGCCUCAGGGCACAUCCAGACAAAUCCAGUUGAACCUAAUCCCGGCAUGACUCCUCAGAGCUCAGGAAGACCAGGACCCCUCCCCCCCCUAGAGUGCAGGGCCUCUGGCAAAGACAGGAACCUGGGGAGGACAAAGGCACUGGAGAACUUUGCAGACAGAGGAGAAGCAGCUGGAGAGAACUGGAGAAAUCCUGGGGGGCCCAGCCUUCCAGGAGUCUUCAGCUUCAAAGCACAUACAGCCCAACCCAGUUGAACUUAAUCAGAUCAAAAGCCUCCAGAGAACAGGGAAGCUAACAUUCCUCCCCUAGAGACUGUACCAAGAGAUCUGAAAAAGCUCCAAGAGGGGAGACUGACAGCCCCAAAACAAAAAAAAAAUAAUUAGAGGAGCAAGAACACAGACAAAUACAGGGAGCAAAGAAGGGGUAAAAUUGAGCAAACAACAGAAAAAGAAGAAAUAAAUUACAAUAGACAGCUUCUGCACAGGUAAUGAGCAAAGAGAGAAUGAAACAGAGGGGGAGGGAUCAGCAAAGGAAAAAUCAGAAAUCCCAGCAAAUUGGACACAGGCUUUGGAAAAACUCAAAAUGUGAUUCAAAAAACAAUUAAGAGAGGCUGAAGACAAUUGGGAAAAUAACUUAAAAAAACUAAGUAAUCUGGAAAUAGAGGCACUUGAACUAAAACAAGAAAAUAGUGUCUUGAAAGCCAAAAUCAAUCAGCUUGAAAAUGAGGCAAAGGGGAUGAAAGAUGAGGCAAAGCAGAUGAAAGAUGAGGUGAAGAAAAUGAAAAAUGAGAAAAAGGAGAUGAAAGAUGAGGCAAAGAGGAUGAAAGAUGACCUCCAUAGAAAAUCAAACCAAAAGGAAAAGGACAACCAAAAAACCAAGGAUGAAAUCCAGUCUUUAAGAACCAGAAUACAACAAUUAGAAUCAAGUGACCUCACAAGGCAGCAAGACACUAUAAAACAAAACCAAAAGAAUGAAAAAAUUGAGGAAAAUAUGAAGCAUCCCAUUCACAAAACAGAGGAUUUAGAGAAUCAUUAAAGGAGAGACAAUUUAGGAAUCAUUUGUCUACCAGGAGACCAUGACAAAAGAAAAAGCUUGGACAUUAUAUUACAGGAAAUUAUUCAGGAAAACUGCCCCAGUAUUCUGGAACAUGAGGGAAACAUGGAGAUUGAAAGAAUCCAAAGAUCACCUCUUGUUCUUAAUCUCCAAUUGACAAUACCCAGAAAUGUUAUAGCCAAACUCAAGAACUAUCAGACCAAAGAAAAGAUAUUACAAGCUGCCAAGAAGAAGUCACUCAGAUACCAUGGAACCACAGUGAGGAUAACACAGGAUCUGGCUGCAUCCACACUGAAGGACAGAAAGGGAUGGAAUAUGAUAUUCCGGAAAGCAAGGGAACUAGGUCUACAACCAAGAAUCAAUUACCCAUCAAAACUGACUAUAUUCUUACAGCGGAAAGUAUGGUCAUUCAACAAAAUAGAAGAAUUUCAAGAAUUCGUAAAGAAAAGACCAGACUUGAACAGAAAAUAUGAUGUCCAAGCACAAAACUCAAAAGAAUCAUCAAAAGAACUUCAAAAAAUGACAAAAUUCAUCUGGAAGAACAAAAGAUCAAGAAUAUCAAGGGAACUAAUGAAGAAAAUGUCAAGCCCAGAAUUUUAAAACUCCCUAGGAAGUUUGGAGCCCAGGGAAGGGAGAGGACAGACGUGGAAACAUAUUGCUACAGAUUAUUUGUGCUUCCCUUUGAACUCUGCAGUGAGAGCUAGGCAAGUACAUGGAUACGGGGUAUAUGGGGGCACGCUAACUCAAAAGUGCUCUCAUUUCUUAUCAUAUUUUUUCUUCCAUUUGCUUAUACAUUAAAAUUCCAAAGAUAAGAGAAAGAGGAAGAUAGGCUGACGGCUAGAAAAGAAUCCAUUGAACACUAUGUAAAAACAUGAAGAAAAUAUUGGAGCCUGAUGCUUCUGAUCUUUAAAAAUCACAUGUUUUUACUCUUAUUAAAAAGCCUUUUAUGCUAGGAAAGUGCCAUUGGUUUGGUAUUAUUCAGGUGCAUGAAGAUGUAUUAGGAAUGCUCUAGAUUUUGGAAUACAUAUGUGUGGGUGUUAGAUACAUUAAGGUGUGCAGUUCUUGAAACUAAAGUAUAAAAGUAAUUUGUUACAUCUCUGAUUGAAGUUACUUUUGAAGUACAUGAAAGAAAAAGACCAUCCCUCUGUCCAGUGUAAAAGGAAACAUCUAUCUAGAUCAUUCUAUUCUUAUCAAUCAAAAUAUAUGAUUUCUUAUGUGUGUGUGUUUAUAUAUGUAUGAAAAGGCUUAUGUAUGUUGCCCCAUACUGAACAUUAUACUUGGUCACAAACACCGUAUACAGUGAGAGUAACUAACUCUAGUUCCAGAGAGGAGUCCACAUAUGCCUUCACAUACCAUUCCUGGCAGGCAAGUUGAAUAUGAGAUGUUUUAUAAGGCUCUUCCUCAGCCUCAUUUUUUUUUGAAGACCCAUAGACAACUUCUAAUAGCCCUAAAAAAUUCUAUUUGAUUUAUGACUGAAAAUGCUAAUAUUCAUGACUGAUAUCCUGGAUUAUGAUUAGAUUCAUAAUUCAUAAAUGGGAAAGCAUCAGGAUGAAAUGGCUGUUUUUGAAAGCAAUAUUCCACCCACCUACAAAGAGAGCUGGUAGUUCUAAUGCUAAUGAGGGCUUAGUUCUGAUUUUUAAAACAUCACAGUUUCUCUCCCUCUCUCUCUCUCUCUCUCUCUCUCUCUCUCUCUCUCUCUCUCUCUCUCUCUCUCUCUCUCUCUCUCUCUUUCUCUCUCUCUCUCUAUAUACAUAUAUGUUUAUCACUGACCGAUGUGAGAGCAGACAAAG